CACACCUUUGUUUAUGUGGAAUGAGGAGGUGCUUGAGGUCAACCCGAACCCAACCCACAGCCCAGGGCGAAUCCAGCUGACCCACAUUCUGAAGCAGAGCCAUCCCGGCUGACCUAUAAACCUAGGUUUGUUUUUGUAAAAAAGUUGAGGUUUGGGAGUAUGAUAUUAAUAUUACUAAUUCUUUACCAAACUCUCUGACAGAGCUCAAAUACAAUUUAAAAAAUCAGGAGAUGAAUCUGUUUCUCCUUUUUUCCUUUUGGAGAGGUGUUUUAUAGUGUUGUCUGUCUUCCUGUCUACUCCUGCUGUCCAGGUGCCAUCCAGAAGCUCCCCUCUGUCAUCACCCUGGGAAUCCCCUUCUCUCCUUCUGGGCUGAUUCUCCUGUAUCUAUACCACACACCUUCCAUCUUCUUGAUCUACUUCCUUGUUUUACUAAGUACAUCCUCUAGCAGAUUCCUAAGAUUACAUGGGACAUAAAUUUCUUGAGACGUUUUAUAGCUGAAAACAUGUAUAGUCUAGUCUCAUUCUUGGAAGGCCACACUGGAAAUCAUUCUCUCUCAAAAUUCUGAUGGAACUGUUCCAGUAUCUGAUAUCAUCCUGAUUUAAGGUCCCUUGAAUGUUACUUUUUUUUUUCUUUCUGGAAAUACUUGGGAUUUUUAUUUUAUGCCUGACAUUCUGAAAUUUUAUGAUAUGCCUUCGAGUGUGUAUUUUUCAGCCACUGAGUGCUAGGCACCCUGUGAUUGCUUAAUGUGGAAAUUCAAAUAUUUCAGUUUCAGGAAGUUUCUCUCUCUCUCCCUUUCCUCUGUUUUCUGUGUUCUCUUUUUUCGAGAUUAGAUUUAUUUGGAUGUUGGGCUACCUGCCUUGAUCCUUUCAUUUUAUCUUUUUUCCUUCUAUUUUCUGUCUCUCGGCCUUUCUAUUUUACUAUCAGGGAAGUAUUUCAACUUUUUCUUCAAAAUUUCCACUGAACAUUUUAUUUCUUCUUCUUCUUUUUAAUAGUCAAGGGCUCUUUCUUUUUCUCUGACUCGUCCUUUUUCUUUUAUAGCAAGGUGGAGCAGGGAGGUUGAUGAGGACGAUUGCACUGCUCCUGGUAUAAACUGUCUACCAAUCCUCCUGUUUUCCAGCUCCUUCUUGCACAGAGACCUUCAAAGAAAUAAGAUCUUAAAGAAAAAUGAAUAGAAGAAAAAGAAUGUGUGAAUCAAGCACUACAAUGGAAAGUUAUGAGCCACGCAAAGCUAAAAUAAAUAAAAACGAAAAAACUAGUAAGAAGAAUAUUUGAGGAGCACGGUGCACAGGAAAAGCAAAAGACCUGAAAUCUGCAAUCUUAGCGACAAAUUCUGAUCCCUGCGAAUGUCAGAUCUUGAGCCAGGCACUUCCCCUAUACUUGGCUGAACUUGCACGUCAACUGGAGACAAUACUAGCUAUGUCACAGAACUACCUUGAAGAAUAAAUGAGAGAAGGCAUGCUAACACAGCUAA